GAAUAUUGGUCAAUGGGUGAGAGCCUGAACCAGCCAUGCCGCGUGCAGGAAGACGGCCUUCUGGGUUGUAAACUGCUUUUUCCAGGGGAUAAAAUACCCGUGCGCGGGGAAUUGAAGGUACCUGGUGAAUAAGCCACGGCUAACUACGUGCCAGCAGCCGCGGUAAUACGUAGGUGGCAAGCGUUGUCCGGAGUUAUUGGGUUUAAAGGGUGCGUAGGCGGCUUUGUAAGUCAGUGGUGAAAGACGGCAGCUCAACUGUCGAGGUGCCAUUGAUACUGCAGGGCUAGAGUACUGAUGAGGUAGGCGGAAUGGACGGUGUAGCGGUGAAAUGCUUAGAUAUCGUCCAGAACACCGAUAGCGAAGGCAGCUUACUAAAGAGUAACUGACGCUGAGGCACGAAAGUGUGGGGAUCAAACAGG
rnacentral:rRNA from 1 species